UACGUAGGGGGCUAGCGUUGUCCGGAAUCAUUGGGCGUAAAGGGUGCGUAGGCGGCGCGGUAAGUCGGGUGUGAAAUCUCGGGGCUUAACUCCGAAACUGCAUUCGAUACUGCCGUGCUUGAGUACUGGAGAGGAGAUUGGAAUUUACGGUGUAGCAGUGAAAUGCGUAGAUAUCGUAAGGAAGACCAGUGGCGAAGGCGAAUCUCUGGACAGUUACCGACACUGAGGCACGAAGGCCAGGGGAGCAAACGGG
rnacentral:rRNA from 1 species